CGUAGGGGGCAAGCGUUGUUCGGAAUUACUGGGCGUAAAGGGCGCGUAGGCGGCACGGCAAGUCAGGAGUGAAAGCCCGGGGCUCAACCCCGGAAUGUCUUUUGAUACUGCCGAGCUAGAGUGCGGAAGAGGCAACUGGAAUUCCCAGUGUAGCGGUGAAAUGCGUAGAUAUUGGGAAGAACACCUGAGGCGAAGGCGGGUUGCUGGGCCGACACUGACGCUGAGGCGCGAAAGCCAGGGGAGCGAACGGGAUUAGAUACCCCGGUAGUCCUGGCCCUAAACGAUGGAUACUUGGUGUGUGGGGUUCUCCAAGUCCCCGCGUGCCGGAGUUAACGCGUUAAGUAUCCCGCCUGGGGAGUACGGUCGCAAGGCUG
rnacentral:rRNA from 1 species